GACGAACGCUGGCGGCGUGCCUAAUACAUGCAAGUAGAACGCUGAAGGAGGAGCUUGCUUCUCUGGAUGAGUUGCGAACGGGUGAGUAACGCGUAGGUAACCUGCCUUGUAGCGGGGGAUAACUAUUGGAAACGAUAGCUAAUACCGCAUAAGAGUAGAUGUCGCAUGACAUUUGCUUAAAAGUUGCAAUUGCAUCACUACCAUAUGGAGCUGCGUUGUAUUAGCUAGUUGGUGAGGUAACGGCUCACCAAGGCAACGAUACAUAGCCGACCUGAGAGGGUGAUCCGCCACACUGGGACUGAGACACGGCCCAGACUCCUUCGGGAGGGAGCAGUAGGGAAUCUUCGGCAAUGGACGGAAGUCUGAACGAGCAAAGCCGGGUGAGUGAAGAAGGUUUUCGGAUCGUAAAGCUCUGUUGUAAGAGAAGAACGAGUGUGAGAGUGGAAAGUUCACACUGUGACGGUACCUUAACAGAAAGGGACGGCUAACUACGUG
rnacentral:rRNA from 1 species